GACCGAGCAACGCCGCGUGAGUGAAGAAGGUUUUCGGAUCGUAAAGCUCUGUUGUAAGUCAAGAACGUGUGUGAGAGUGGAAAGUUCACACAGUGACGGUAGCUUACCAGAAAGGGACGGCUAACUACGUGCCAGCAGCCGCGGUAAUACGUAGGUCCCGAGCGUUGUCCGGAUUUAUUGGGCGUAAAGGGAGCGCAGGCGGUCAGGAAAGUCUGGAGUAAAAGGCUAUGGCUCAACCAUAGUGUGCUCUGGAAACUGUCUGACUUGAGUGCAGAAGGGGAGAGUGGAAUUCCAUGUGUAGCGGUGAAAUGCGUAGAUAUAUGGAGGAACACCAGUGGCGAAAGCGGCUCUCUGGUCUGUCACUGACGCUGAGGCUCGAAAGCGUGGGUAGCGAACAGGAUUAGAUACCCUGGUAGUCCACGCCGUAAACGAUGAGUGCUAGGUGUAGGCCCUUUCCGGGGCUUAGUGCCGGAGCUAACGCAAUAAGCACUCCGCCUGGGGAGUACGACCGCAAGGUUGAAACUCAAAGGAAUUGACGGGGGCCCGCACAAGCGGUGGAGCAUGUGGUUUAAUUCGAAGCACGCGAAGAACCUACCAGGUCUUGACAUCC
rnacentral:rRNA from 1 species